AAUCAAAGCAAGAAGCCCGCAAGAAGAAAUACGCAGCAAAGUGCGAGUGUGGUGGAAAACGAAGCAGCAAAAUUAUUGUUGAGUGAUGUUUGAACGGUGAUGGUGUCGGAGGUGAUGAAGUGGAUUUUUCCAAACGUGGAAAAGUGCUGGUGAAAGUGGAAAUCUGUGACCUAAAGUGGUAAAAAACGAUUCGCGUCCAUAAGGGGCGGCUUUUGUGCUAGUUUGCGAAAACGGAAAGUGCCAAUUCGUGGGGAAAAGUUGCAUUUGGAAAAUGGGUAGAACACUUAUUGCAGCACACAUCCAUUGCCAGAUCCAGUGUGGACCAGAGGCAGUAAUAGAGUCUCGUCAGCCCGUAGUCAGUAGUCUGCAUACGACGGCAUGAGGAGAGGCCACCACUAGUCAGUCAGUGUGUGUCGUGAGGCGUCGAGUUGAAGUGGACUAACUACCUACAUUUUGUUGAGUGAAAUCUGAAACCAGACAUUUUUCGGAUUACGGAACUGAGUCUUAGGCAGUAGUAGAACAGGUUGUGGGCCACUCGAAAACUGAUUGGAUUUUUCCCGGAAGUGAUCUAUUAUAGGCCAGAAGAUAUGAUGUGUACGUGUGCAAUUGAAUGAAAUGGACAACUAGAUAUGGUUACGUACUGUGCUGGAUUGCCUUAACACCGUCCAUAAUAUCACUAAUGAAUUGUGAAAAUAGUUUCAAUUUUACGCAGUUUUAGUGGCCAAUAAGCGAAUGAUACGGAGCGAAAAGCAAUCGAAGCCCCGAAUGUUGUUGGGAGCGAACCAGCCGGGAAAGAGCGAAAAGAUGUAAUUUUCGGAACGGCCAGUGAGCCACUACAGUGGAAGAAAAGUGAUUGUCCAAUUUCAGCCAACAAAGUGAAGAAGAGUAUGGAGUGUCUGUGUGAUGUCAAAACGGAGUAGCUAACAGGAAAAGAAGUGUACGGAACAAAGUGCGGACGCAGAGGAAGCAGAAGAAGCAGACUUCACCGCUGUGAGCUGACGAGCUGGACACGAAAACCAAGUGCAUAAUACAUACCUACACAAGAAAAAAAAAAACAGUGCGACGUAAACAUUGCGUGGUAAAUUUCCUUUAUUUAAAACCUAGUGUUUUGUGGUGUAAUUUGUUAACUGGAUAUUAUGUGUAUGGGAAACAAUUUCUAUAUUGAAUAAACUAGCAACUCGGAAGCCAGUGUCCAUCAAGUCGAUCGUUGCCAGUAUCGAUAUUUGCAGAGGAGUCAAUUUGGUGUACAGUUUUCGAACGAAAGAUCAAACAACCGAAUAGCUGUUUGUAAUUGGAUAUCCCUCCAAAAACAAUCAUGGGCUAACGUGAGAAUAUUUAGCCAACGCCAAAUUUAUUCGGACAUUUUUCAUCGAAAACAAACAAACAUUUUCCCGACACUGGUCUCGUAGCCGAAAAAAGAAGCAAAGAGCGCACGGCUUCUGGAAUUCGAUGACCAUCGUCGUCGGGUUCCCCAAGGCCUUUGCCGGUAUUUCUCUCGCCGACGACUACUGUUACCGGUAGCGAAUUUGCUACCAGCAGAUGGGAAAAAAUGGCAUUCUGCAACCACCCUAAGGCCGUCGACACAGGUGCUGCGAAACGCAAUUCUUCAUCACACUCCGUAUAUACGGCAAUCAGUGCAGCUAGCCAAGUGGAUGGAAAUAAGCAGAGGCAAGCUUUUCUUCUAUUACUAGCAGUGGAAGCCUCACAAGUGGCGGAUGCGGUGGCAGUUAAGUGAAGUGUCGAAGGAAAUCGCAUAACCGUUUCCUCGUCUCCUGUGUGUGUAUAUUUUGUACUCCGGCUACUCUACCAAGAUGGGUUUCACUUGAGUGAUUUUUGUUCAUUUCUCAAUUUUUACGCUCCAACACUAUUAUUCUCCUGUCGAUUCAAGAAGUGCGGAGCAAGAGCUGUGUCCCAGUUAUCAGUGCAUGUGGAAGAAUAUUUAAAAGCAGAGAAAGAAGAAGCUCACAGAACCAGUGUGCGGAAUAUGUAUGAAGCAUAAAUUGAAUAACCAGAUUUCCUGAAUGUGUAUAGAAGCAAAAUGUGAAGUAUAAUGCAAGUUGAAAUCUUGAUCUGAGAGAGAAGUGAAGCAAGAAGAGCCAAGAAAAUAACAACAAGAGCAAAAGUCGCGGGGAAAUAAGUAAGAUAUUAAAGUGUGAAGAGCAACGAAGAAACGAUGGAAUGCAAGAGAGCCAAAUUGUAAAAUAAUUGCAUGUGAAGUGGAAGGCGUCUCACACAGAAGUAAGAGAAUAGCAGAAGUGUGUACAGAGUGAGCGCGAGCAAUUGUUGAAAGUGAGUGAGUGAGCAAGGGGGUCUAUUUUGAAGGUGAGAUCAAAACAACCACCACGCGACAACAUGUCUUUCCUUAACAACCUGAAGAAGGUCUUCCACCUUGGCGGUGGGGAGGCCAAGAAGAAGCGCAUCUUCAACAACAUUCGGAUGGAUACGGAUCCGAAUGAUUACUGGGAUAUGAUUGGUGAAUUAGGGGAUGGUGCGUUCGGUAAAGUGUAUAAAGCUCAAAAUAAGGAAACCAAACAGCUGGCGGCGGCAAAAAUGUGCACUUUGGAGGAUGAAGAAAAUUUAAGUGAUCAUAUGGUGGAAAUCGAUAUUCUGUCGGAGAUCAAGCACGAGAACAUAGUGGAACUAUAUGAAGCGUUUUCCAUCGAUGAUAAGCUAUGGAUGCUGAUAGAGUAUUGUGAUGGUGGUGCCUUAGAUAGCAUAAUGGUUGAACUAGAAAAACCCUUAACCGAGCCACAAGUUGCCUACGUAUGUAAGCACAUGUGCGCUGGGCUAAACCACUUACACAAGAACAAAGUGAUACAUCGCGAUCUGAAGGCUGGUAACGUAUUGCUGACGAUGGACGGUGGUGUCAAGUUGGCGGAUUUCGGUGUUUCUGCGAAAAACAAACACACGCUUCAGAAACACGAUACUUUCAUUGGAACGCCCUACUGGAUGGCACCGGAGCUGGUACUGUGCGAGACCUUUCGGGAUAAUCCGUAUGAUUUCAAAGUGGAUAUCUGGUCGCUGGGCAUCACGUUGAUCGAGUUUGCCCAGAUGGAGCCACCGAAUAGCGAAAUGUCUCCAAUGAGGGUCCUGUUGAAGAUUCAGAAAAGCGAACCACCAAAACUAGAUCAACCUUCAAAGUGGUCUAAGAGUUUUAAUGAAUUUCUGGCCAAAGCGCUAGUAAAAGAUCCUCAACAAAGGCCUUCCACGGACGUUCUCAUGGGACAUCCAUUUAUCGCUGGUAAUCUGGAUUCCAAGCCAAUCAAAGACCUGUUGCUUGAAUACAAAGCAGAUGUCGUUGAGGAGGAAUUGGUGGAUGAAGAAGCAGAGAAAGCUAAAAGACAAGCGAAGCGUAGAUCGCUUUAUCAGAGGGAACCCCGCAAUUCUGCGCUCCCACUCGACUUGGACGAUGACUCAUCGUCUCUACAAAGUCAAGAAACCUAUAAACUUCCAGAUACUCCCACAUCCCUAUCGAAAUCAUCCAGAGAUUCAAAAGAAUCGACUCCCGUUCCUGUUGAAGAUGAUAGCAAAGCGAAACCGGGAGCAGCGGUCGCAGUCGCAACCACGGCUGCAGCCCAAUCGCCUUCUGAUGUCGUCAAUUCUUCGGCGCCCAGUUCUCAGUCAGCGACAGCUGCAACAACGUCUGUGGCUAGUGAUAGUAAUAGUAAUGUACAAAGUGAUAUCAAGAAAUCACCUACAACGGUUCCUGCUCCAGUAUUACCACCCACCGCACAACGACCUACAAAAGAAAGCGAAGGUGAACAGACUGAAAGUGGUAACAGUAGCAACAGCAGCAGUGCUGAGGUUGAAAAGAAAGGUGUCAUCAAAAAGGAGAAAGGACCGGCUCCUCCACCUCCUCACACUCCUUCAUCGCCAAGCAGUCGAAAUACUCCUAGUUCUAUCGGAGUUAGUUCAUCUUCUCACACAACUAUCCCUCCUACCCCUCCAGAAACCCCACAAAGUCCGGAAAGCAAAGGCGUUGAUCGCCCUGAUACUACAGUGAUUUCAAAACCAGCUUCCCCGUUGACGUUGGAACGCGAAACAAGCGUAGACGAACUUGUAAAAUCACCCAAAAAGGAACACGCUCCAUCUCCUCCAAAAUCUUCACCGAAAGAGGGUAGUCCAUCUUCAUCGCCACAACCUUAUGAAGAUGACGGUGUAGUGGUGACAAGUUCUGCCAGCAGAAGACUUAUUCCAGACGACGACACAGUUGAUCUAAGAAUCGAAUCGCCAAAGCCCAAAGAUGAAGAACUUUUAAAUACCACUGUUGCCAUUCCAAAACCUCCGCUCCAAUUUGACGAUGAGUCAUCCAUACCACCGCGACUUCUACCCGACGACGAAAUUCGGAUAACAUCGACACCCAACAAACAAACGACCAUUAACAAUACCAACAACACUUCGACCAUUACUAUCAAUAACGACACCGUGCUUUCGGAUCCAUCCAACAGUCUUGCCAGUAACGUAAGUCAGAUAACUGUAGUUACAAGCCAUCCGCCGGUGAUAAUCGACAACUCGGUGGUACCAUCCGGCUCAUCGUCGUCCGCCUCGUCAACGAAAUCCUUCGGGUCGUCUCAAAGGAGAUCACGGGUGAUAACGCCAAAAAUAAGCGGCGGCGGUGACGAGGUGGUAAUCGUUUCCAACGAGCUGAACAAAACCCACGUGAAUGAAUCGUCCACGGACGAUGACUUCCAAUCGUUGGACAGCUUGGAAAACCUCUCGCCGAAGUAUAGGAAACAGCACCCGCAAUUGCAACGGUCCGGCAGUGGGCAGAUAGCACGUAAGUUAGAUGAAAGUGAAGUGCUGAUCGUGAGUCCGGUCUUCAUUGGCGAGGAUCAGGACGAACAGCAGCAGGAGCAGGACGAUUUCAUCAAUGAUGAGCUACAUUUAGGUAAUAAUAAUAAUAAUCAUAGUAACAGUAAACUAUUGGACACUAGUCAUGUUUCGGUGGUCACCGUUGGCGAGGAAGAGAUCAAGGUCAAGGACUCUUCGCAUCUGAUCAACAGUGGUACCAGUCAUCUUCUUAUGCAGCAACAGCAGCAGCAUCUGCAGAACCAUCACCAUGAUUCCAUUAGCGAUCUAUCCAAUGUGAGUUGUGGUCCCAGCGAAUCGAGUGAUGAUGUUAAGGUGGUGGACAUGAUGCUGUCACAUCCGACGGGUGGCACUACAAGCACGAGUAGCGUCAGUACCGGCAGCACAGUUACGGCUACCGGAGGUUUUGCUCAACGAUCACCGUCAGGUUCGUCGAUUUCAUCGCCAUUGAGAAGUGGUUCUAGCACUAAGUUGAAUGGCGACUUCAACCGAAGUCGGGAAGACGUCAGUAUAAUAGUUAAUAAGCGAAAAGUUGUGGAAAAGCAAAGGAUUUCGCCCGACAGCAGUGUCGGAUCGAUGGAUGGUGGAGGUUCGGUACGAUCGGCCAGUACACCGUUGCAUCAUCACCUUCAACAACAACAACAACCGCAACAUCACCAGCAGCAUGCGCCUAGCGGCAAACAGCUGGAUCGUAGCGAUGCCGAAAGCAUAGCAACAACAACUAGUCACGACAGCCGCGAACAGUCGGUAGAAGAGGAAGUUCAACUUCGUCGAAAGCCUCCGCCCGCUGAAGUCGAAGAGGACAAGGUUCCGCCAAUCGUCAACAGCAACGUCCGAACGAAGCCCAGCCAGCAGCAGCGGAAUUUCAGCAAGGAAGAAAUACACUUGCAAAAUUUGAAGAAGAAAACGCGAAAACGGACGCGAAAGUUUGAGAUCGACGGUGUUCAAGUCACGACCACCACCAGCAAGGUGAUCUACAGCGAUGAGGACAACAACAAACUGUACGACGAUCAUCUGUUCCGCAAGCAGGAACUGCGGGAGCUCAAGAUGCUCCAGAAGGCGGAGAAGAAGCAGUUUUACGACCUGCAGCAGAAGGAAGCCAUCGCCAAAGAGCAGCAGGAGAAGAAAUUCGAGCAGGAACGUCUUCAGCUGGAGCGAACGUUCGAGGCCGACAUGGACGUGUUGGCGCGGCAGCACCGGCAAACGGUGGAAAAGUACGAACAGCAACAAGAGACUGAACUUAGGAAUACCUCCAAGAAAAUUCGUGCCGAACAGGAGCGAGAUUUGAAAUUGUUCCGCGACAGCCUCAAGCAGGAAAUCAGGCUGCUCAAGCAGGAAGUCGACCUCCUACCAAAAGAAAAGCGGAAAGAUGAAUUCCGGAAGCGUAAGACUGCGAUGGAAAUCGAGCACGAAGAACGAGAGAAGAGUUUCCUGUCCACCCUGUCGGAGAACCACGAGCUCGCUCUGCGACGGAUCAGUGAAAUCUAUCGCGAGAAGCUUUCCGCUGCCGACAAAGGGUAUUUGCAACAGAAGCAAACGGCGAUGAGAACUCGAGAGGCCAUGCUUUGGGAGCUGGAGGAGAAGCACAUUCACGACAAGCACCAACUGGCGAAGCGACACGUGAAGGACAUCUGCUUCAUGCAGCGACACCAAAUGAUCAUUCGCCACGAAAAAGAAUUGGAUCAGAUCAAGAGAAUGAUUUCCCGCAAAGAAGAAGAACUGCUGAAGCGACAAACCAUCGAAAGGCGAGCCUUGCCAAAGCGGAUACGGGCCGAGCGGAAAGCGCGAGAUAUGAUGUUCCGCGAGUCGUUGCGAAUUUCGAUGACCACGGAUCCGGAACUGGAACGGGAGAAGUUGAAGAAGUUCCAGGAGCAAGAGAAGAAACGGUACAACCAGGAGCAGGCUCGUUUCGAAACGAAGCACAUGAAACAGCUGGAAGAGCUGCGAGCUACCUCAGACGGUUCCAUUAGGGAGCUGGAACAGUUGCAAAACGAAAAGCGUAAACAGCUGCUGGAGCAUGAAAGUGCCAAACUGCGCGAGUGCGACGAAGCGCUACAGAAGGAACUGCGCGAGUGGAAAUCGCAGCUUUUGCCGAGGAAACAGGCUAUACAGCAAGAGCUUGACGGGCAGGUGAACGAGUACGAGAUAAAGUGGGGUCCAGUAGACCGACGCGAAUUCGAUGGUGAUUUUGUAGUUCCCCCGGAAAUCCGGAAUCGCACCAACUCCUUGAAUUCCCGUUCCUAUCGACUACAUGGUGGUUUGCUUAGUAUUUCCCGGUCCCGCACCUUCCUCGCGCUACCGGUGGCCAAUGGACGCAACAGUAUACACAGUUCAGUGCCAGAUUUAAGCCGUUCCGUUCCAAAUACUCCCAAUUCGGCUCAUAAGCUUUCGCUGGCAUCGUCCUACGAUUCGGUGCUGGAGGAAAACGAGAAUGAGAAUAUGGCACCUCAUCAGACAGGUCAGGGAGAGCAUCAAUCAGCUAUCAAGUACAUUUUCACUGAUGAUGGGGUGCAUCUGCGUAGGAAAUCUGAAGAUGUACUUUCGGGUAGAAGAACGAAAAUUCCAACUAAAAACAGCCCCAAUAGGCCAUAUCAGGCAAACGGUACUCGGAACACUCCGAGUUUGCCACCUCUUCAAAGCCAUUCCAGGCAAAAUUCCGAGCCAACCAAUCGCGUUGUUCCCAUUAGAGUCAAAAAACCAGGAAAUCUUUUCGAAGCAAUGUCCAAUCGGUCUUCGUCCGGUGUUACCUCGUACAGUGGCGGAAGCACGAUGCCUAGAGGUGGCACUUCCGGCUGGGGAUCUAGCCGCCUCGGUGCCAAUAACUUUUCUUCAGAUGCCAAUAUUAAUAGGUUAACGACUUUUAGUUCAGCUAGAGGUGGUCUUCCACUGCAACAGUAUUCCCAACAUCACAAUGGUGACGAUAGAAACCAGCAUGAUGCUUUGCCUACUUCAGGCAUGAAACUUUCCCCUUCCACUCCAAUCAUCCUGUCGCCGGAAAAAGGAAGUGAUUCAGCUGUUUAGGAUAAAACUAUUUAGAACUAGACGAACCAUUAUUCUUAGAAAUUUUCAACAUAGAAAAAUUUGCUUAAUCUAGGCGUUGAAACUGUGUAUACGCGUUUCUCCUUCUUCCCCCCACUAAUGACCCCUUUAGUGAAAAAGUACGAUUGUUCGAAACAUGCAUACAAAUAAACAUCCGCAUAUUUUGCACCACCAUAACUAUUGCAUCAGCUUCGACAAGAAGCGAGAACUGACCAAUAAUUGCCAAGUCAGCUGCACUUUUGAAUUUAAAUAUGCACUGUUAUGUGCACUAACCCUAUCCAUCAAUCGUAACACCAAUCCUAACCUGUAGAUGACGGCUUCCUACUAACAUCUGACUAACGCAUCAUCGCCUACGUCGAAGCCGUAAUAAUUACUAACACCGCAACAAAACAAAACCGGUCCAAGAUUAUCCAUGAAGAAUCCACAUAAUAUCGCUGCAAUGAAUUCCUGAGCACACACCACAACACAUAAGGGCUGGGAUUAUAUAUUGAGUACUCCAGAAAGUAUCGUUUUGAAGCAGUCGAAUUAGGUAAACCGCAAGAAAUAGAGGAUCGUUCGAGAGGAGAAUGAUACCAAGCGCCUCGAGGAAACCUUCGCUCAGCAGCACGAGGAAAUGGAACAACUGUACGGCAACAGUGUGGUACCGAUGCCACCGCAGUCUCCACAGGCGCAUGAUCUGCUGCAAAUUGGAUCGACCCGAAGCAGUAUUUCCUCCUACUCGGACGGCCUGGGGGCAUGACAGAGGGGGAACGGCGGCUACAGCACCACCAGUGUCAACAGUCGUCUCAAACGGUGAGGUGAGGAUAAGCCGAUGUCGGUCCAUGUUCUAGGGAAACCCUACGAUAGAAAGUGAAUUCUAUGGCUCCCUCACAUAACUAAUAGGAAAUGUAAAAAAAUAUCAGAAAAGCUGUGUAGAUAGUCAGGGUUAUAAAAAGAGAAUCGAUGAGAUACGCAAUCUAUCAACUGUGAGUGAAGCACUCUGUGCAAUUAGGGCCGAUAGCUUGUUCGGUCGGAUGCUGGAGUAGGCAGCGAUAGUAAUCAAUGUGUCAAAAUUGAUCAAGUGCAGCUAUACAAAAAUUCGUUAUCCGAUUGCAUAUAGUUUUGUUUUUUUCAUAGGGUUAAGUUCAAAGUAGCGUUUAAAUAUCAUACGUUAGGGAUCUACUUAACCAAAACCUAAUUUAUACUUCAUUCAAAUCAAACAGCGAAACAUAUUUUAGCUGAGAAACUAUGCAGAAUAAAUCCCGAUGGUACCAAUGUAAGUAAAUCUAAAUAUGGUUCGCCAACUGUUUGUGUUUUAAAUAUUUAUUACACACAUGCAAAUAAACGCAAUAUCUUCCAAUCAAAACAAUAAACGACAAGUCUGCCGACGCCUCUCCUAACUUAGCAUUCUCCGAAAGCGCAGCAUUUAGGAUAAUAUCGCCCAUUUUAGCCUACCGAUUAAUGUUAUUACUUUCCUGGCAUUUGUACAUAUGUAUUUUCUUUUGAACCAUGUUUUUAGAGUUUCAUUUUAAUAGUUAACAUUAUUUUAACUUUUAAUAUAAAAAAGUUUCGAUUUUUAACUUCACGCCCAACGUGUUUCAUCUUCAAAUCGGAUUUUCGAGCACAAUGUGCAUCCCAGUUGCUUUUUCGUCAAUUAUAAAUAAUUGAGUUAAAAUAAGGUUACCGUUUCUACAAUUCAUUUCAAGCUUCCAUGUUAAUGCAACUUGAAACACUAUAAUUAAAGCUCGAAGCAGUUAUUCCUUUUUAUUGUAUUUUUGUUAAUCGUUAGCACCCAAUAGAACAAACAUGAUCAUUCCGAGUUUUAAUCACCUGGGUUUCAAACAAAGUGAAUAUGGAAGCGUGAAAUGGACGUCGGAACGAGUCCCCUAAAUGCCAUUAUUCAACGAUUCGGUCUCGAUAAAAUCAACGCAUGGCUUGAGAGGCGAACUUCCUACGAUUGCAAACUUUCAAUUUAUCCGGUUUUUGUUAAUCGUUUAAACACUGAUUCGAUAGGCAUAGUUUAGUUAUUUCUAUGAAUUUAAAUUAAAAAUCACAACCACAAACGCAAAGUAUUGUGAAUUUGUACAUAGGUCCUUUGAUUAGUAGCAAUAGCGAAAGUCCCUGUUUCUAGGUUCAUUACCAGUACAUAAGGUUGACAAAACAACAAGAAACACAAACUUGAAUCAAUUUUGAAUGCAACUCAAUCAGCGAUAUAGCCAAUCGAAUCCAUCUCGAUUGGUAACAUUUACGAGAGACAGACUUAAUGAUAGAUUGAGAGAAACAGUUUAUUAGAUGAUCAAACUGAGGCAACUGAUGGAAGUAUAGAGAAGUAGAUGGUUGAUAAAAAUAUAUAACAGUAUACAUAUACAUAGAUAAUGAAGAAAACAAUAUUUUAUUCAUUAA